GUGCGUCAUAUCCGGCGGCCCGGGAGUGAAAGGGUAGAGGGUUGUGGAGACUUUAUUCAAACUUGCUGCCAAACAGAAGUGAGCAUGUGACAUUGAUUGCCUGAAGCAGCAUGAUAUGAAACGCUGCACUGGAAAAAGUGGCCUGAUCACAGUAUGUGUGGUCCAGCUGCUUGCCACCGUGGAGCGGGAGGUGUUCGACUUCCUCGGGUACAUGUGGCUGCCCAUCAUCGCCAACUUCCUGCAGCUGAUCGCCGUCAUCUUCGGCUUCUUCGGUGCCUACCAGCACCGCAUCAAGUACCUGGUGGUGUACGCUGUGUGGGCUUUCAUCUGGCUCUGCUGGAACAUAUUCGUGAUAUGCUUCUACCUCGAGGUCGGCCGUCUACGGCGGAGUGACGAGGUGCUGAGCCUGUACACGGGCUCUGUCUCGUUCUGGGAAGCGUCCGGCCCCGGCUGCGUGCCCGUCUACUCGACCAACGGCAGCGCGCCAGCCGACCCGUACCGAGAGCCGCGGCCCGACCGGGUCGACGGCUGCUGGCUCGACUACGAGCACGUGGAGGCGCUGCACGCCGCCCUGCAGAUUCUGCUGGCGGCCAUAGGGGUGGUGCUGGCCGGCUGCCUGAUCGCAGGCGCGCAGGCGGGAGGAUGACAGCUUCGACUUUAUCGGCGGCCUGGACAUGGGCGGCACGUACAAGCCCGUGUUGACCUCGCCGGCCCGGCUGCCACUGCUCGCGCCGGCCGACGGGCCGCCGCCGCCACCUUACGGCGCACCGCGGCACUAGCAGUGCUGCCGACCGCGCACAGAUGACGCCACGCUCGCGCGGUGCGCCGGCGUGAAACCGCGCUCACUGUCGCCGGCGUACCACAUCGAGUACC